ACUGCGAGUGAAGCGGGAAAAGCUCAAAUUUGUAAUCUGGCGGUCUUGGGCCGUCCGAAUUGUAAACUAGAGAAGCGUUAUCCGCGCUGGACCGUGUACAAGUCCCCUGGAAUGGGGCGUCAUAGAGGGUGAGAAUCCCGUCUUUGACACGGACUACCAGGGCUUUGUGAUGCGCUCUCAAAGAGUCGAGUUGUUUGGGAAUGCAGCUCAAAAUGGGUGGUAAAUUCCAUCUAAAGCUAAAUAUUGGCGAGAGACCGAUAGCGAACAAGUACCGUGAGGGAAAGAUGAAAAGAACUUUGGAAAGAGAGUUAAACAGUACGUGAAAUUGCUGAAAGGGAAACGCUUGAAGUCAGUCGCGUUGGCUAGGGAUCAGCCUUACUCUGGUGGGGUGUACUUCCUUGUCGACGGGUCAGCAUCAGUUUUGGUUGCUGGAUAAAGGCUUGGGGAAUGUGGCAC
rnacentral:rRNA from 1 species